rnacentral:misc_RNA from 1 species
UCCGGUUUGUCACCGGCAGUCUCAUUAGAGUGCUCUUUCGUAGCAACUAAUGACAAGGGUUGCGCUCGUUGCGGGACUUAACCCAACAUCUCACGACACGAGCUGACGACAGCCAUGCAGCACCUGUGUUACGGUUCCCUUUCGGGCACAACUCCAUCUCUGGAGCCUUCCAUACAUGUCAAGGCCAGGUAAGGUUCUUCGCGUUGCAUCGAAUUAAGCCACAUACUCCACCGCUUGCGCAGGCCCCCGUCAAUUUCUUUGAGUUUUAAUCUUGCGACCGUACUUCCCAGGCGGCACGUUUAUCGCGUUAGCUUCGCCACAAAAGGGGUCGAUUCCUUUUACAGCAAACGUGCACCGUUUACGGCUAGGACUAC